UCGAGAAUUUUUCUCAAUGGGGGAAACCCUGAAGGAGCGACGCCGCGUGGAGGAUGAAGGUCUUCGGAUCGUAAACUCCUGUCAUUGGUGAACAAGACUCAUCGGGUAACUGCCGAGCGAGUUUGAUAGUAGCCGAAGAGGAAGAGACGGCUAACUCUGUGCCAGCAGCCGCGGUAAUACAGAGGUCUCAAGCGUUGUUCGGAUUUAUUGGGCGUAAAGCGUGCGUAGGCGGCGGGGUAAGUGAGGUGUGAAAUCCCGGGGCUUAACUCCGGAACGGCACUUUAUACUGCCCUGCUUGAGGGCUGGAAAGGAGACUGGAAUUUACGGUGUAGCAGUGAAAUGCGUAGAGAUCGUAAGGAAGACCAGUGGCGAAGGCGAGUCUCUGGAAAGCUGCUGACGCUGAGGCACGAAGGCCAGGGGAGCAAACGG
rnacentral:rRNA from 1 species